GAUGACGAACGCAGCGAAAUGCGAUACGUAAUGUGAAUUGCAGAAUUCAGUGAAUCAUCGAGUCUUUGAACGCACAUUGCGCCCCCUGGUAUUCCGGGGGGCAUGCCUGUCCGAGCGUCAUUGCUGCCCUCAAGCACGGCUUGUGUGUUGGGCCUCCGUCCUCCUCCCGGGGGACGGGCCCGAAAGGCAGCGGCGGCACCGCGUCCGGUCCUCGAGCGUAUGGGGCUUCGUCACCCGCUCUUGUAGGCCCGGCCGGCGCUUGCCGACACAUCAAUCUUUUUUCCAGGUUGACCUCGGAUCAGGUAGGGAUACCCGCUGAACUUAAGCGUAUCAAUAAGCGGAGGA
rnacentral:misc_RNA from 1 species